GGUUCGACAUUUAUAAGAAUAUUGAUAAAAUUCCACUAGUUGAUUGUCCUGUUCUUAUCAUUCAUGGAACUUCAGAUGAAGUUGUAAAUUGUUCCCAUGGGAAACAACUCUGGGAACUGUGUAAAGAAAAAUACGAACCACUCUGGCUUAAAGGAGGGAACCACUGCGAUCUAGAGCACUUUCCAGAGUAUAUCAGGCAGAAGUUCAUAUCAACUGUCGAGAAACCUCCUUGCCAAAGGUACAGUUCAAAGAGAGGUACAGACCAGUUUGGGCAACCCCG
rnacentral:misc_RNA from 1 species